AUCAACUUUCGAUGGUAGGAUAGAGGCCUACCAUGGUGGUAACGGGUAACGGGGUGUUAGGGCACGACACCGGAGAGGGAGCCUGAGAAACGGCUACCACAUCCAAGGAUGGCAGCAGGCGCGCAAAUUACCCAAUCCCGACACGGGGAGGUAGUGACAAUAAAUAACAAUACGGGGUUCUUUCGGAUCUCGUAAUUGGAAUGAGUACAAUUUAAAUCUCUUAACGAGGAACAAUUGGAGGGCAAGUCUGGUGCCAGCAGCCGCGGUAAUUCCAGCUCCAAUAGCGUAUAUUAAAGUUGUUGCAGUUAAAAAGCUCGUAGUUGAAUUUCGGGGUUAGUAGGUUGGUCAUGCCUCUGGUAUGUACUGGUCUCACUGAUUCCUCCUUCCUUAUGAACCGUAAUGCCAUUAAUUUGGUGUUGCGGGGAAUUUGGACUGUUACUUUGAAAAAAUUAGAGUGUUUAAAGCAGGCUAACGCUUGAAUACAUUAGCAUGGAAUAAUGAAAUAGGACGUUCGAUCUUAUUUUGUUGGUUUCUAGGAUUGACGUAAUGAUUAAUAGGGAUAGUUGGGGGCAUUAGUAUUCAAUUGUCAGAGGUGAAAUUCUUGGAUUUAUUGAAGACUAACUACUGCGAGAGCAUUUGCCAAGGAUGUUUUCAUUAAUCAAGAACGAAAGUUAGGGGAUCGAAGACGAUCAGAUACCGUCGUAGUCUUAACCAUAAACUAUGCCGACUAGGGAUCGGAUGAUGUUAAUUUUUUAAUGACUCAUUCGGCGCCUUACGGGAAACCAAAGUGUUUGGGUUC
rnacentral:rRNA from 1 species